GGAGGGAGCUGCUGGGGAGCCAGAGCUCAGGCACAGGGAGAUGAUGGGGUCUCAGGCUCAGCUGUUCUGCCUCCUACUUCUCUGGGUCCCAGGUUCCAGAGGGGACAUUGAGGUGACCCAGUCUCCAUCCUCCCUGGCUGUGUCUCUGGGAGAGACGGUCACCCUGUCCUGCAGGGCCAGUCAGAGUGUUAGUAAUCACAUAAACUGGUACCAACAGCACCCAGACGAGGCUCCCAGGACCCUCAUUUACCAGGCGACCAAGCUACCCUCCGGAGUCACUGCCAGGUUCAGUGGCAGUGGCUCUGGGACAGAUUUCUUUCUUACCAUCAGUCCUGUGGAACCAGAAGACAUCGCAGUCUAUUACUGCCUACAAGACACUAGUUAUCCUCUCACAGUGCUCCAGCUCUGAACAAAAACCUGCCCAGGCAGCUGCUGAGGGAGCCCCCAUUUCCCAGAGGCUCCUCCUUUCCCCACAGCUACGACAUGGGCAACUUGUCUGGGCUGCCUCUGAGGGAGGUUUCUACAUCUCCCAGGAGGCUGCUGGGCCUGGUGUGGGUGCUGAGCCUGGUCUCUUCCCCAUCAACAGUCAUGGAGUGGCACCUCCUUACUCAUUGGAUCUCACCCCUAAGGUGAAUUUUUCUCACUCACAGCUGACCAUGAUUCCCCUUUCCAAAUGCUCAUCAAGUGUUCUUACAUGCUUUGUAGUGCAGGGGGCAGAGCUUCCCAGGCACUUAGGUUGUGUAGUGGUUAUAGCCAGGCAUGGAGGCAAGUAGACAUGAGUUCUAAUCCAGCUUCAGACA